rnacentral:rRNA from 1 species
UUGGAGGGCAGUCGGUGCCAGCAGCCGCGGUAAUUCCAGCUCCAAUAGCGUAUAUUAAAGUUGUUGAGGUUAAAAAGCUCGUAGUUGAACCUUGGGCCUAGCCGGCCGGUCCGCCUCACCGCGUGCACUGGCUCGGCUGGGUCUUUCCUUCUGGAGAACCGCAUGCCCUUCACUGGGUGUGCCGGGGUAACCAGGACUUUUACUCUGAACAAAUUAGAUCGCUUAAAGAAGGCCUAUGCUCGAAUACAUUAGCAUGGAAUAAUAGAAUAGGACG